rnacentral:rRNA from 1 species
GACGAACGCUGGCGGCGUGCUUAACACAUGCAAGUCGAACGGAAAGGCCCUGCUUUUGUGGGGUGCUCGAGUGGCGAACGGGUGAGUAACAUGUGAGUAACCUGCCCUUGACUUUGGGAUAACUUCAGGAAACUGGGGCUAAUACCGGAUAGGAGCUCCUGCUGCAUGGUGGGGGUUGGAAAGUUUCGGCGGUUGGGGAUGGACUCGCGGCUUAUCAGCUUGUUGGUGGGGUAGUGGCUUACCAAGGCUUUGACGGGUAGCCGGCCUGAGAGGGUGACCGGCCACAUGGGGACUGAGAUACGGCCCAGCCCCCUCCGGGGGGCAGCAGGGGGAAAUAUUGCACAGGGGGCGGAAGCCUGAUCCAGCACCGCCGCGUGGGGGAUGACGGCUUUCGGUUUGAAAACCGCUUCCGCCUGUGACGAAGGGGGAGUGACGGUAAGGGGUAAAGAAGCCCCGGCUAACUACGUC